rnacentral:rRNA from 1 species
GCUAAUACCGUAUGCGUCCUUUGGGACAAAGAUUUAUCGCCAUGGGAUGGGCCCGCGUAGGAUUAGCUUGUUGGUGGGGUAACGGCCUACCAAGGCAACGAUCCUUAGCUGGUCUGAGAGGAUGAUCAGCCACACUGGGACUGAGACACGGCCCAGACUCCUACGGGAGGCAGCAGUGGGGAAUAUUGGACAAUGGGCGGAAGCCUGAUCCAGCAACGCCGCGUGAGGGAUGACGGCCUUCGGGUUGUAAACCUCUUUCAGUACCGACGAAGCGAGAGUGACGGUAGGUACAGAAGAAGCACCGGCCAACUACGUGCCAGCAGCCGCGGUAAUACGUAGGGUGCGAGCGUUGUCCGGAAUUAUUGGGCGUAAAGGGCUCGUAGGCGGUUUGUUGCGUCGGGAGUGAAAACAUCGGGCUUAACUCGAUGCUUGCUUUCGAUACGGGCAGACUUGAGGUAUGCAGGGGAGAAUGGAAUUCCUGGUGUAGCGGUGA